rnacentral:lncRNA from 1 species
AUGUUCCCUUGUGUGCAGCCAUCUGUUGAGCUCCCUCCUCCCUCCUCCUGCGGGGAAGCGGUAGCCAGCUUGCCCGGCCAGCUGCACGCCUCGGACGAGGAGGAACGAGGAGAGAAGAAGGGGACAGCCAGCCCAAGCCCCGCCGCUGCCGGCUCCCGGCGGCGCCCGCUCCCGCCGUGGGAACCGGCGCUGCGCGGCCACCCCGCCGUGGGAACCGGCCCGGCGCUGGGAACCGACCCCGGCCCCGGCAAAAGCAUCCUGUGCUCCCCCAGCCACACAGUGAGCAGCAGUACGUGCCACCCCUGUGCAAGACAGAGCUGGGAAUAAAAGGUGAGCCACCGUCUUCCGGAGGUUUAGAGUUUUCCCUCCAUCCCUAACUGCUUUUUUUUUUUUUUUUAUCCUGUUUCAAUCUCUCCUCCUCCUCCUUCUCCUCUCUUGUUAGCUGGUUGGUGGGGAGAAGCAGAGGCUGGAGGGUGGGAUGAGGCAAGGCAUCCUUGUCCGGCAGCCCCCCUGACCCCUGGCACCCCCGGGCUCUGCACCGUAGCCGCAGCGCUGGCUGCCUUGGCUAUCAAAAGAAACUUCCGAACACUGAGAUGUUGAGGGCUGGGAAGAGAUAAAGGCUGGCUUGAGCAAGCUGCUUCUUGUCCUAAAACUUGGCACCUGGACCUAUUGAGGCAAAUGUAUGAAUGGCUCAGCCAUUCAUUACAAAGAAAUCUUGAGAUUUUAAUUUUUAUUGCAAUUUUUAUAUGUUUUUUGGGUUUUUUGGGUUUUUUUUGUUUUUUUCCUGGGAGUUUCCAUCUUAUUCAUGGUGUGCAGCAGGGGAGAAGGAAAUAUGUGCUCUGGGAAUCACCCCAGCCUCCCUGUCUGCUUGCAGACACUGCAAGAGAUUAAACCAUCCUGGCUGCCUUAGCAUGGGACAUUCCUGAGUUGCAUUAACCAGGCUGGAAAUCUGUCAGAGCAGCAGCAAACUGGAAAAAAGCGUUUUAUCUUUACCAUAGCUGACAGAGGGCCAUGUGCUGUGCGUAAUAUCUGAGUGCCAGUGUCUGUGGGGUUUCUUUUCCUUCCCCUUUCUCCCUUCCUGGUUCUUUUUUGCAGUCUGUGUCUCUGUGAUGGUGACUCCUCUCCUUUCCCCUGAUUCUUGCCAGCAGAUCAAACCCAGGGGUGGGGAGAGAAAUCACAGAAUGGGUUGGGUUGGACCUUAAAGAUCAUCCAGUUUCAACACCCCGGCCAUGGGCAGGGACACUUUCCACCAGACCAGUUUAUUCAAAGCCCUGUCCAACCUGGUCUUGAACACUUUCAGGGAUGGGGACUAUUUUUUCAAGGAAGUUUUUUUUUUUUACUUCAAAUAAGAUAAUCUUCCUCAGGAAAAAUUGAGACUCAAACUCCUAUUGUGACAGAUGGGUCAAACCAGACAUGAUUCCUCCACCCCAUCAGGUCUGAUGUGACACAUGUGCAUGGGACUUGUGUCACUUGUCUCCAAGUGGGGCAGGACAUGUCCCUGACCCCAAAAUUGCCUGUUUUCCUCCCAUCCUUGAGAAUGAGAUUUCUAUAGCAGUCAGCAUGGUGAGGCCAAACUUCACAUAGCAGGAUGGAGUAGAUCCUUCCUCCAAAGCACUUUAAUCCCAUGGCAAAAGUUCAGUUUACAUACAAAGUACAGCCCCUCUGUCUAUCCGGGACCAAAGCAUUGCAACCUCUUGCAAGAAAUCUCCAACUCAAAGAAUUAUAGGAUAACUGAACCUGGCCAGUUUCAUCCAUCCUGCCCCUCUCCCCUGGCCUGGCUGCCCAUUUAGCAGAGGGCAAAGCAGGGUUGCUGUCCCUAGAGCGUCCAGGAAGGCAGGAGCUGGACAUGGUGCCCAAGGACAGUGGUGACAUUUGGCUGGACCAGUUAUGGCAGUGGCAGAAGUGGGGACUUCUGUGUGGGGUGAGACCAGGCCACCUUGGCUUGUCCUCCCUUCCCAGUUAAACUGGUGGGACUUAAACCUGGGGAUGGCAGCCCUACGCCCACACAGGAGUGAACACCUCUCGGACCUAGUGCUAGUCAUCCUUAAAGUGUCAGGAGAGAAACUGAGGCACACAAAUGGGGACUCAUAGUACAUCAGUGGUGAGAAAUUGGUCCUGCUGGGGAAAUGCUCUCCCAACCCACUUCAGAUGAUCUUUCUCCAAAAUCCUGCACCAGCCAAGAGGGACUGGAGGAUUCUGGGCCAAGGAGGGAGGAAAAGAAUUGAGGAGAUAUCACACAUUGUGGGGGCAAUGAAGCAUCAUCUCCAGUGGGAAUCAUGGUGGGGAUGACACACUAAUGGCAAACCCUUUAUCAGCUCUACCUACACCCCUUCCCCCUCCACAAAUCGCCCCUUCCCAAACCUUGUAGGAGACCCAAGGUUGUAGUAAAUGUCUCAUGUGCUUCACUGGGGUUGGGGGCAGCUCCUGGAGCCCCAGCUGAUGCUCUACCGAGCAGUUUCACUGGCAUUCAUUGUUCGCAGCAUCACGAUGCAAGAAUUUAUUGGAAGGGGGGGGGGGGGUGAAGAAAGGCCAUGAGGGGAAUGAGAUGGGAGCCUCCAGCUGUGUGUUUGCAACAAUAAUGGCCAGGAUUGUAUUUAUUAUCUCCUCAGCGGAGGGUCUGCAGCUGCACACUGAGAGCCACAGACGGCAAAGGGGCCUAGAGAUUAUUGUGCAUGGAAAAAAAAACCCAACCACAAAAAUAAAUAAAAAGCCCACAAAGAAUCCCUGGGCCAGCUGGAGCAGUGCCAAGGGGCACCCAGCUUAACUCCCAGUCUCCUCUCUUCGCCCUUCCUUACUGAAGUCAGCAGCCCCGCAGGGCUGAUAGGAGAAGGGAGAUUGGCAGCUGCUGCCUUUCAGAGAGAUAAAGCUGCAUGGGGUCCUCUUAAAAUCCUUCUGCCAGGGCUGGAGGUGUUUCCCAGCCAGGUUGAAUUUCUUUUCCCUCUGCUUUCUCAUGAUAUUUCCAGUGCUAGCUGAACCAUGACCAAGGCAUGCCACUGGAGGCAGCACUUGGACCUGAU